GAUUUCCAUGAUUUAAAUUUAAAUUUUUAAAUGUUACAGUUAUUUGUUUAAUGAAGAAUUUUAUUUUUUAUAGUUCCGCAUUUAAAAUAAAGAAAAGUGAAUUUUUUUUUGGUAACGUUCCGACGUUUACCGAAAAUUGGGGCGUUACAAGUAGGGGCGAAUCUAGCAUCUAAGUUUAGAUAGGUCGGAGCUUGACCGUUGACCGUCGACAAUCAAAAUCGUAAUAGACUUGUCCUUAUUAAAAUUUGAUUAAAUGAUAUUAAAAAUUAUUCAAAUAUAUGUAAAUGUACGAGUUGUAUACUAGUUUAGUAACUCGAUUAGAUUUUCUCUAUUAAGAGACUUGUUCGAUUCAUCGUGACCACAAAAUGGCAAUCCUUAAAAAAUCAAUUAGAAGUGAUUAAAAUUCAUAAUUCUUAGACUCUCAGCAAUAAGUCCUAAUUUCCCUUAUCCAGUAAACAUCAUCGCAUCAAACAACACUCAAGAGUCUCAACUCAACUCUCAACAGACAAGUGAGACAACAAAUCAACAAUUCAAGCUCUUAAACACAUUUGGAUAUGAUUAUGUUCUCGGGGGAGCAAGAUGCCAUAUUGCGAAUUUGAACACCAAAACAGAGCAAAGGAAUACAUUAAAGAAAGAAUUUGACUCAGGCAACCAAAAAAUAUCCUAAUCCUUUACCCCCAAAAUUUUUUUCCUGUAAUUAAAUUGUAAAUAAAACUUAAACCAACUAGUCCAACAAAAACAAAAUCCCCAAAACAAAAAGAGAUUCUGAUUUCGUACUUCGCAUAAAACAGACAACAAAAACAUGGAAAUGGAUGGGUUUGCAGUUGCACAAUUAAAAAAAAUCAACAAUACAACAGACAACAAAAACAAUUUGACUCUCCAUUGAAUUGCAAGCUGCUUGCUUGGGCCUUGGAGACUCGAAGUCGCACUUUCUGAUUUCGCACUUCGCACAUGGUGACAUGGUCCACGAAUAUACACAUCGCAAAUCGCAGGCGCAGCUACAACUGCUUCAAAUGGAAAUGGAAGGGUUUGAACUUUGCACUUUGUGUCUUUGGCGGUUUCAAAUUAUGACUUCGAUUGGAUUAUUGGAUUUGGAGUUUGGACCAUUUCCAUAUGUUGUUGAUUUGGGUUAGAUACUGGAUUGAUUCAUUGAUUUCCUCAUUGGGCCUAAUCUUUUAAACAAAAUGAGGCCUAUUCUAUCAUCAGCCCAAAGAAAAAGUAAAAUAAAAUUUGGAACUCGUCUUUUUCCCUUCCAAUUCCGUCUCUGGUUCUCUGCAACUGCUGCGCCUGCUCCUGGUGGCAACUGGACAUUCUGGCGGAUCUAGCACACCCAGCUGCGGGUGCUCGCCAAGAGCUGGAUCCACCACUAGUUACAAGUGCCUUUUACCUUGAACGAACUCGUCUCAAAUCAAUGAAACACUACAUUUAGUUCUUAUACAGAGAGAAUAUAAAAUUGAUAUGAGAAAAAUGUAAAUUAAUUUAAGAAAUAAUAAUUUUAUUUAUUUAUUUAUUAUUAUUAUUAUUAUUAUUAUUAUUAUUAUUAUUAUUAUUUUUUGUUGGGUUCUAUUAGUACUUCAUCAUUCUGAGCAGUAAAACAAUGGAUAUAAGCGCUUACUAGGAACAAAUUAUAGUAGUAACAUCCUAUUGUUAAUAUCCAGUUCCACGAGACAAGGGAUCCCAUUCCAAGAAACCAAGAAACCAAAAUUGCCUUGUAUUUUGCCUGAUACAAAAGUUAAUUUUCCUGUAAGAAUUUUAAUGUCUCAAAAAAGAUUAAACAAAAGAAAAUAAUUAGAAGAACCUCAAGCCUGCUUGAACUUGGAACUCCAAUUGAAUCAAGAUUAGUCAGGGUUGCCCAUCUUCUAUUCAUACUGCAUAAUGUACAGAAGAAAAUAAAGCCAUGUUUGGUAGGGAUUUUUUGCCCCAAAAAAUUAAUUUUUUGACCGUUAUUUUACUAUUCAAGCCGUAGUUUUUGACUUCUUAUCUCACAUAUGGACCCCAUUUUUCUUUUAACGGUCAAAAAAUCAAUUCUCAAAAUCCCGACCAAACGGGCCCUAAGUAUAAUGAAUGGGAAAAAUGCCAAAUCUCAAAAACAGCAGGGAAAAUACUCAGAAAUUUACCAAUUCUCUAGAAGAAAAUGAAAACCUAGGUUGAAUGAUCAAGAAGAGCAUGUAAUAUGAACAAAGAAAUGAACCCUUAUCAAGAUUAAGACAUGGACGGACUAUUGUUCUUGGAGGGUUUCGAGUGGAUGUUGACUGCUGAAGUAUGAAAAAGAGAUUCAGGUAUGGGCCUGAUAACGAGGCAUGGGU
rnacentral:lncRNA from 1 species